UACGUAGGGUGCAAGCGUUGUCCGGAAUUAUUGGGCGUAAAGAGCUCGUAGGCGGUUCGUCGCGUCGGCUGUGAAAUCUCCGGGCUUAACUCGGAAAGGUCAAGUGAUACUGUCGGGCUAGAGUACAGAAGGGGCAACUGGAAUUCUCGGUGUAGCGGUGAAAUGCGUAGAUAUCGAGAGGAACACCUGCGGCGAAGGCGGGUUGCUGGGCUGAUACUGACGCUGAGGCGCGAAAGCCAGGGGAGCGAACGGG
rnacentral:rRNA from 1 species